rnacentral:rRNA from 1 species
AUACGUAGGGCGCGAGCGUUGUCCGGAAUUAUUGGGCGUAAAGGGUUCGCAGGCGGUCUGAUAAGUCAGAUGUGAAAGGCAAUGGCUCAACCAUUGUAAGCAUUUGAAACUGUCAGACUUGAGUUAAGGAGAGGAAAGUGGAAUUCCUAGUGUAGCGGUGAAAUGCGUAGAUAUUAGCAGGAAUACCAGUGGCGAAGGCGACUUUCUGGACUUAUACUGACGCUGAGGAACGAAAGCGUGGGGAGCAAACAGGAUUAGAUACCCUGGUAGUCCACGCCGUAAACGAUGAGUGCUAGGUGUGGGGGGUCAAACCUCGGUGCCGCAGCUAACGCAUUAAGCACUCCGCCUGGGGAGUACGUACGCAAGUAUGAAACUUAAAGGAAUUGACGGGG